UACAUGUGGGGCAAGCGUUGUUCGGAAUUACUGGGCAUAAAGGGUGCGUAGGUGGCUUGUUAAGUCAGGGGUGAAAGUUUUCGGCCCAACCGGAAAAUGGCCUUUGAUACUGGCGAGCUCGAGUGCGUGAGGGGUAACCGGAACGAGCAGUGUAGCGGUGAAAUGCGUAGAUAUUGCUCGGAAGGCCAACGGCGAAGGCAGGUUACUGGUGCGCAACUGACACUGAGGCACGAAAGCGUGGGGGAGCAAACAGG
rnacentral:rRNA from 1 species